UUUCCCAGCUGGAUCCUGUAUUUCGCGUAAAAAUUUAGGCAUUGCAUAAAUGAGCAGUAGAAAGUUAAAAUUGAUCAGUAACAAAAAAAAAAUUGAAACAGUCAUAUUAUCAUCCAAAUUUUGGCAAAGGGAAAAUAAAGGGCUUUUCACUCUAUAUAGAACAAUUUCAAAUGUUAAAUAUGUAAAUCAGGCCCAUUUUUGUAAAGAAUUAAGUUUUUUACUGACCAUAAUUAAAUAUUUUACUGCUCUUUUUUAAUUUUUUUCUGCCCAUUUAGAAUUUUUUACUGAUCGUUUGUUUUUUGCCAAAAAAUUAUAUACUUUUUGAACGUCUCUCCGGUGAGAUAAUGUUGCCUAUUCCGACAACAUCUUUUGCUUUCCUAAUUUUCUUAUUCAUUUCGAGUUUUUUUUCAAUUUCUGAGUUCUCCAAUGUUCAGAGAAAAAAAACCAUCGUUUCUGUGAAAAAGAUUAUGUGGAAAAGGCCUUGGAAGCGUUCAGGAAGGGCAAAUUGCUACGGGAAUCUGCGCGUAAAUUUGAGAUGCUACUCUUCAGGUGUCUUCGGGACAAAUUACACGGAAGAUCUCAGGGAUUGUGGGUCAUAUAAAUGUAUUAAACUAAAUAUUAAACUCUUUCCGUUUGACGUUUUGAAAUUUUCUAUCCGUUGGUCACAAAGGGUGGUCGGAUAAAAAGGUGGCCGGUAUUUCACUCAAAGUGGCCGGAAUACUACCCAAAGCAAUGUCCAUAUUAUUAUUAAUUUUUCAAUAUUUUAGAAAGUGAUUUAAAGAAAACAAAGAUUAUAAACAAGUUUUCAAGGUUCCACACAACCUUCCCGAAAAGGAAGUAACAAAAAAUAUCAAUAUUAAUUAGGACUUCGGUGCUUAUAUGCAACUAUGCCGAAAUUUGGCACACUUACCCUACAACUUUUCUCUCAGAUUGUUUUUUAACCUCGAUAUUGAGGUUCAAACGAAGAACGAGCACUCAGUCAACUAAAUAAAACCUUCACAAUUUCGAGUGUUAUUGUUUUUUACUGCUCGAACUCAAAGAGAGAGCAGUUAUAUAAUCGACUUUUUUUUCAACUUUGCACUGUUCUGGAGCUUAAACGGUAAGAGAUAUCGACUUCCGGUCUUCGGUGACCUUUCCUCAAAUGACAUUAUCUCGUGCCCAAUCUCUUUAUUUCCCCCCCUCCCCUUUCAUACGUUCCCUAUCCCUCAAAAAUAGGUUAAAAAUGCGGUUUUUCCAAUUUUGCAAAAAAUUGGCCCAAGUUUUUUCAAUGAUUUUUGGAUAUGUCUUAGAGCUAGUCCUGGCGAACAUUUCGUCCAAACAUACUUAUGACCGGAAAAUUCGCCAUUUUGAAUUAUUGAAGGUCAAAGUUCAAUCACUUUGGAGGAUCCGUUUUUCAACCGAUUUGGUUAAAUUUGGAUUUUUUGGAAAGAUAUUGAAAUUUUGAACCCGACUGCAUCGGUCAUAAUCGGUAAUGAACCGGUUAAGUACCGAUUUUUCAAUAAUUUUACAUCCCCUAUUUAGUAAUAUUCCCUAAGAAAAAUGUUUUUCGAUUUUUCUCAAAAUUGGCCCAAGCUUUUUCAAUAAAUUUCGGAUAUGUUUUAGAGCUAGUCCAGUUGAACAUUUCGCCCAAACAUACUUAUGACCGGAAAAUUCGCCAUUUUGAUUUAUUGAAGGUCAAAGGUCAACUACUUUGGAAGGCUCAUUUUUCUAUUUGCUUAAAAUUUGAUUUUUUUAGAAAAGUAUUGCCAAUUAGAAUCCGGCUGCAUCGGUUUUCAUCGGUAAUGAAUCGGUUAAGUACCGAUUUUUUGAUUUUCAAAUGCUUUUGUGAUUGAUUUAUGAAUCAAUUUAAUCUCUAGUAGAUCAGUGAUUCCAAAAGAUUAUGCAAAAAGCUAAUUCACAGUGAGCUCUGUCUCGUGAGUUCGAGCAUUCCGCAAAGUUGGGACGCUUUGCCAUCUCUUUUUAAACAAAAUUUAUUAUAUUGCACAUAUUUGAAGUUCAUUAGCCGAGAAACAAUAAAUACAUUUUCAUUUACAAAUAGAAUUAAUUAAUCUUUGCAAAAUUAUUCGAUCCCUAUUUUUCUAUUACAAAUGCUUCACAAAUCCGAGUUAUUAACACUGUAUCAAUCGGGUAAAGGUAUCUACGUCACUUGCAGUUCGAUUUGGCCCACCUGAUACUUGAAACAUCUUUAUUUAGAGGGGCUUUCCAAAACCUUUCAAAUGACUGAAUCUAUCAUGACUGUUUUAGGUACCAUCGUUUCGUCUAUAUUGCUCUUUUUCUGCCUUGUCUCUUGUUACACUCCCUCUGGAUGAUACAAUUUGUGAUUGAUUGUUUUUUUGUGUGUGAUUGAUGGGGUUAUUUAAUUGUCAGUUGGAUGAUGAUGAUCACAUAACGGGCUACUUGGAGGAGUUCGAUGAGCAGGGCAAUCAAUAUUUGGUGAUAAUGUGCGAAGGCGUCCAGAUAGCACGAAUUCCGGCUGGAAGGAAAGGUCUAUCUCACUGGAAGUGGCUUAAGGAUGUUUUCGAGAUACGACGGCGUCCAUCGCUGCAGGAAUUAAUUCCUGAUUGGCCAAAACUCAUUGAAGCUGUCAAAGUAAAGGUUGGCACACUCAAAAUAAAACUGACAUGUGACAUCUGUCACUGUUUAAUUUGAACAACUGUCUAAAAACGCAAAUAAAAAUGCAAAAAAAAUCUUAAAAUAAAACAAAACUUAAUUUAAAAAAAAAAUACAAAAAAACUCCCAAAAUUCUGGGUAAAUUAAACACGAAUAAAAAAAUGCUCCUAAAAAUACUAAAUAGAAAAA